GGAGUAAUCUAAGACCUAGAGCGGCGCACGGGUGCGUAACGCGUAUGCAACCUACCUCAUACAGGGGGAUAGCCCGGAGAAAUCUGGAUUAAUACCCCAUGGUACUAUAGAGCGGCAUUGUUUUAUAGUUAAAGAUUCAUCGGUAUGAGAUGGGCAUGCGUCUGAUUAGCUAGUUGGCGGUGUAACGGACCACCAAGGCGACGAUCAGUAGGGGUUCUGAGAGGAAGGUCCCCCACACUGGCACUGAGAUACGGGCCAGACUCCUACGGGAGGCAGCAGUAGGGAAUAUUGGGCAAUGGACGAGAGUCUGACCCAGCCAUGCCGCGUGCAGGAAGACGGCGUUCUGCGUUGUAAACUGCUUUUAUCUGGGAAGAAAAGGCCCAUGCGUGGGACAUUGCCGGUACCAGAUGAAUAAGCACCGGCUAACUCCGUGCCAGCAGCCGCGGUAAUACGGAGGGUGCAAGCGUUGUCCGGAUUUAUUGGGUUUAAAGGGUGCGUAGGCGGCUAUUUAAGUCAGUGGUGAAAGACUCCGGCUCAACCGGAGCAGUGCCAUUGAUACUGGAUAGCUUGAGUGUUGGAGGGGUACAUGGAAUUGAUGGUGUAGCGGUGAAAUGCAUAGAUACCAUCAGGAACACCGAUAGCGAAGGCAUUGUACUGGCCAACAACUGACGCUGAGGCACGAAAGCGUGGGGAGCGAACA
rnacentral:rRNA from 1 species